AAGUAAAUCCGUAUCUAUGAAUCAAGUAUCUAUAAUCUUGUCUAUGGUGAUUCAAAUAGAUAAUAUACAACAUGAAAAUGACAUGGCAGGUAUUGCUGAGUGCACAAAUUCUGGAAUCAUAUGUCUUGGAGCUCUUUUAGCAAUUUACUUUCAUUACAGAACAUUGUCAUAGCCGAUUGAAUCAAGAAAAUUCAUUUUAUCCACUGGAAACAGACAAGGUGGUAUCAUAAAGGAACAUUACAAACACUCUGGAUGCUAUGUGUUACAGAGCAUUGGUUGUUUCAAUCCUCUCACUUCAGUAAAUAGCAGUAUGGAAAGUCCUAAAGCAAGCUUACAAAUCCCCCACAGAGGCAGUGUGGUGCUACAAGAAGGAUUUAUGUCAAUGAACUGGUACAUAUUUCGUUUUUUAUUGUAUAAACUGCUGAAUUACCAA